UUGAGACAAAUGGGGGAAGAUUAACUUGGACUAGGUACCAGUGAUAUUAAAGCAUUAUACUAUUUUCUCUACUUUGGUGUGUGUUUGGAAUUUUUAGCAAUGAAAUGUUUAAAAAAACAAAAACAACACACAACAAAAAACAAGGGCGGGGCGCCUGGGUGGCUCAGUCAGUUAAG